rnacentral:rRNA from 1 species
UACGUAGGGGGCGAGCGUUGUCCGGAAUCAUUGGGCGUAAAGCGCGUGUAGGCGGCCCGGUAAGUCCGCUGUGAAAGUCCAGGGCUCAACCCUGGGAUGCCGGUGGAUACUGUCGGGCUCGAGUCCGGAAGAGGCGAGUGGAAUUCCUGGUGUAGCGGUGAAAUGCGCAGAUAUCAGGAGGAACACCAGCGGCGAAGGCGGUGCUCUGGGCCGGAACUGACGCUGAGGAGCGAAAGCGUGGGUAGCGAACAGG